UAGUCCUUGGGUUAAAAACAGGUUAAAUCUCCAUUUCCUGUCACUCUCCAGAUCAUAAAAUCUACCUUGAGCUGUGGAUCCCUAAGAAGAGAAGAUCUGAUCCAACAGCUGAUCUUAGGGUCCAUAGAUGCCUAAUAAGGUCCCUGGGGUGGUAGAGAGGUCGAGGCUGUGGCUGCGCAAAGAUCUUGCUGUGACUCUGAUGGUCUGUGUGACCCUGAUUCAAUGACUGUAUCUCGCUGUGCUUCAAUUUCCCCUGAAUAAAAUCAGGGUGUAGUAUCCUGUGUCAUUCCGGGUGACGUUCUGGAACAGCAGAGAUCCAUUGUGCCAGACAUAGCCUAAAAGAUUCUCAGGCAGAUUGUGGACAAGUAGAAGAACAUCCGUUCCUUCAAGAGCAUCUGUCGGCACCGAUUCAAUAGUCCAAACAGAUGUCCUCUGUCUCUUCUCAGAGCCUCGUCCUCCCCAGGAGACCCGAGCCAGUCUUUAUUCUCCCAUCCUCCCACCCACACCAGGGAAUCAUCCCCUCUUACCUGCCAGCAGAAGCCCC